rnacentral:rRNA from 1 species
UACGGAAGGCAGCAGUGGGGAAUAUUGCACAAUGGGCGAAAGCCUGAUGCAGCUAUGCCGCGUGUAUGAAGAAGGCCUUAGGGUUGUAAAGUACUUUCAUCGGGGAGGAAAAAACAAAACUAAUAAUUUUAUUUCUUGACGUUACCCGAAAAAGAAGCACCGGCUAACUCCGUGCCAGCAGCCGCGGUAAUACGGAGGGUGCUAGCGUUAAUCAGAAUUACUGGGCGUAAAGAGCACGUAGGUGGUUUUUUUAAGUCAGAUGUGAAAUCCCUGGGCUUAAACCUAGGAACUGCAUUUUGAAACUGAAAUACUAGAGUAUCGUAGAGGGAGGUAGAAUUCUAGGUGUAGCGGUGAAAUGCGUAGAUAUCUGGAGGAAUACCUGUGGCGAAAGCGGCCUCCUAAACGAAUACUGACACUGAGGUGCGAAAAGCGUGGGGAGCAAACAGGGAUUAGAUACC